rnacentral:ncRNA from 1 species
AGCCUCUAAGUUAUGUGUGACAACCCCCUGAAUUUAAGCAUAUUAAUAAGGGGAGGAAAAGAAACCAACCGGGAUUCCCUGAGUAGCUGCGAGCGAAACGGGAGAAGCUCAGCACGUAGGGAUGGCGGCCCGCCCGUCUAUCCGAUUCCGUGUACUGGUACGUCUCACUAUCCGUCUUCCUAGUGGUAUUCAAGUCCAACUUGAACGUGGCUUUGAACCCAUAGAGGGUGAUAGGCCCGUAGAACACCACCCAGCGGUUGAUGG